GAAAAGAGUUAUCUUUUCUGCUUAACGGUCUACCAACCCUGAAAACGGUUCAGCCGAAGGUAGGGUCCAGUGGCCGGAAGACUAGUCACAAUGGGGAGUAACU
rnacentral:rRNA from 9 species